GGGUCACGACCAACGCUGGCGGCGUGGAUUAGGCAUGCGAGUCUAACGCGAACGAUAGACUUCGGUUUAUUUAUUAGAGUGGCGGACGGGUGAGUAACGCGUAGAUGAUCUACCUUUAAGUGGGGGACAGCCCCGGAAAACCGGGAUUAAUACCGCAUAUCGAGCUACCAAUUAUGUAUUCCAACUAUAUUAUAAUUCAUAUUUCAAUUAUUGAAUAAUAUUUAUGAGAUAUUGUAAGAAUGCAUAAUUGGUAGUUUGAAAGACGACCUCUGUUUCAAGUUGUCGCUUAGAGAUGAGUCUGCGUCCUAUUAGCUAGUUGGUGAGGUAACGGCUCACCAAGGCGAUGAUUGGUAGGCGGCUUUAACGAGUGGUCGCCCACACUGGGAUUGAGAUACGGCCCAGACUCCUACGGGAGGCAGCAGUCGAGAAUAGUCUACAAUGGGGGCAACCCUGAUAGUGCGACGCCGCGUGAACGAAGAAGCAUUUCGGUGUGUAAAGUUCUUUUCUUUGUGAGCAAUGGUUUACAGAUUAAUAGUUUGUAGAUAGAGAUAUUAGCAGAGGAAUCAGCUCCGGCUAACUCCGUGCCAGCAGCCGCGGUAAUACGGGGGGAGCGAGCGUUGUUCGGAAUUACUAGGCGUNAAGGGCAAGUAGGCGGAUAAAUCAGUCAGGUGUUAAAGGCAUCAGCUCAACUGGUGUACGGCAUUGGAUACUGUUAUUUAGAGUAAGUUUGGGGAAGACGGAAUCCUGGUGUAGCGGUGGAAUGCGCAGAUAUCAGGAGGACACGGGUGGCGANGGGCGUCUUCUAAGCCAUUACUGACGCUCAAUGCGAAAGGUGUGGGUAUCGAACAGGAUNAGAUANCCUGGUAGUCCACACAGUAAACGAUGUGCACUAGAUGUUGGGGGAGAAAAUCUUUCAGUGUCGUAGUUAACGCGUUAAGUGCAUCGCNUGGGGAGUACGGUCGCAAGAUUAAAACUCAAAGGAAUUGACGGGGGCCCGCACAAGCGGUGGAGCAUGUGGUUUAAUUCGAUGCAACGCGAAGAACCUUACCUGGGCUUGACAUCCCGGAACAUCUGUAGAGAUACGGACUUGCCCCUUCGGGGGAAUCCGGAGACAGGUGCUGCAUGGCUGUCGUCAGCUCGUGUCGUGAGAUGUUGGGUUAAGUCCCGCAACGAGCGCAACCCCUAUCUUUAGUUGCUAACAGGUCAAGCUGAGGACUCUAGAGAGACUGCCAGUGUAAUAAACUGGAGGAAGGUGGGGACGACGUCAAGUCAUCAUGGUCCUUAUGUCCAGGGCUACACACGUGCUACAAUGGCUGGUACAGAGGGUCGCAAAACAGUGAUGUGGAGCUAAUCUCAGAAAGCCGGUCUCAGUUCGGAUUGGAGUCUGCAAUUCGACUCCAUGAAGUUGGAAUCGCUAGUAAUCGCGUGUCAGCGUAACGCGGUGAAUACGUUCCUCGGCAUAGUACACACCGCCCGUCAAGUCCGCGGAGUUGAUUGCACUCGAAGGAGGUGAGCUCUCCGUAAGGGAGCAGCUUUUUAAGCUGUGAAUGAUAAGCGGGACUAAGUCGUAACAAGGUAACCA
rnacentral:rRNA from 1 species